GACAGAGGGUGCAAGCGUUGCUCGGAAUCACUGGGCGUAAAGGGCGUGUAGGCGGAUAGAUAAGUCGGGCGUGAAAGCCCCAGGCUCAACCUGGGAACUGCACUCGAAACUGUUUAUCUUGAGUGCCGGAGAGGAAAGCGGAAUACCUGGUGUAGAGGUGAAAUUCGUAGAUAUCAGGUGGAACACCAGUGGCGAAGGCGGCUUUCUGGACGGUAACUGACGCUGAGACGCGAAAGCGUGGGGAGCAAACAGG
rnacentral:rRNA from 1 species